rnacentral:rRNA from 1 species
AUACGUAGGGGGCAAGCGUUAUCCGGAAUUACUGGGUGUAAAGGGUGCGUAGGUGGUAUGGCAAGUCAGAAGUGAAAACCCAGGGCUUAACUCUGGGACUGCUUUUGAAACUGUCAGACUGGAGUGCAGGAGAGGUAAGCGGAAUUCCUAGUGUAGCGGUGAAAUGCGUAGAUAUUAGGAGGAACAUCAGUGGCGAAGGCGGCUUACUGGACUGAAACUGACACUGAGGCACGAAAGCGUGGGGAGCAAACAGGAUUGGAUACCCUGGUAGUCCACGCGGUAAACGAUGAAUACUAGGUGUCGGGGCCGUAGAGGCUUCGGUGCCGCAGCCAACGCAGUAAGUAUUCCACCUGGGGAGUACGUUCGCAAGAAUGAA